AGCGAACGCUAGCGGCAGGCUUAACACAUGCAAGUCGAGCGGGAUGACUUCGGUCAUCCAGCGGCGCACGGGUGAAUAACACGUAGGUAACGUACCCUUUGGUGAGGAACAACCCAGGGAAACCUGGGCUAAUGCCACCUAUGUCCUUCGGAUGAAAGUACGAAAGAACGCCAGGGGAGUCGGCCUGCGGCCCACUUAUCUAAUCCUAGUUGGUAAGGUAACGGCUUACCAAGGGUACGAUGGGUAGCUGGUCUGAGAGGAUGAUCAGCCACACUGGGACUGAGACACGGCCCAGACUCCUACGGGAGGCAGCAGUGGGGAAUAUUGCGCAAUGGGCGAAAGCCUGACGCAGCCAUGCCGCGUGAGUGAUGAAGGCCCUCGGGUCGUAAAGCUCUGUCGGGAGGGACGAAGGGU
rnacentral:rRNA from 1 species